GACGAACGCUGGCGGCGUGCUUAACACAUGCAAGUCGAACGGAAAGGCCCUGCUUUUGUGGGGUGCUCGAGUGGCGAACGGGUGAGUAACACGUGAGUAACCUGCCCUUGACUUUGGGAUAACUUCAGGAAACUGGGGCUAAUACCGGAUAGGAGCUCCUGCUGCAUGGUGGGGGUUGGAAAGUUUCGGCGGUUGGGGAUGGACUCGCGGCUUAUCAGCUUGUUGGUGGGGUAGUGGCUUACCAAGGCUUUGACGGGUAGCCGGCCUGAGAGGGUGACCGGCCAAAUUGGGACUGGGGUGCGGCCCAGACUCCUACGGGAGGCAGGGGGGGGGAAUAGUCGAAAAGGGGGGGAGGCCGGGUGCACGACCGCCGGGGGGGGAAUGACGGCCUUCGGGUUUUAAACCUCUUUCCCCUGGGAAGAAGCGUGAGGGAGGGAAAUGGGUAAAAAAACACCGGCAAACAAGGU
rnacentral:rRNA from 1 species